AAAAAAAAAAAAGUUUUCCCUUGAUAGAUUCCCACAGGAAUACUCCAUUCUGACUAGUCAAAUCAUCAGCUUUAUUUUGUUGUGUUUUGACAGAGUCAUUCAACAGAACAGCAACACUUCCUGUUCCUCAGAGGAUUAAAUCUGGAUCUUGUGAUGUGCAACAUUUCUGAUGUAUAUUCAUUCAACCAUGAGAUCCCAUGCUAAAGCUAAUUCUGUUGUUUUCUGUUUGUUAUAGUUAAUGUUAUCAUGAAAUCUGUAGCCUGGAAACCCAUUUUUGGGAAUUCAGAUUAUCAACCGGAAGACGUUAAGCAUUACCAUGCGACUCAGAUUAAAGGUCAGUGAUGCAUGAAGGGCGAGGAGAGGAGAGUGGACACAGACUGAAAGGAAGGACAGGACACUGCAGCAGCAGGUCCUGUGGAAAAUUCUGACUCCAAAACCUUAAAAGGUGAAAGCAAAACAGCCACAGGACAAGAACAUUUCCACAUGCUUUCCUUCCUGACCUUUCAUUAUACAAGAGCUGGAGGCUGCUUCUAUUCUCAGCAUAAUACAUAAUCAGAUUCCACGGCGUGAUUUUGAAUCCGUCUGAGAUCUGAAGGUUUACUGUAACGUGAGGAAUUUUACUGUUUUCAGCACAAACACCAGAGAACUUUGAUGUCCUUCAUGCUGCUGGAAAUUAAUAUCCUGAAAAUAUCCCAAAACUGAUGCUGUUGAUCUCAAAACACAACACAGCAUCAACUGACUCUGUACUGAGAGUUAACUGAGAGAGUGUUUCUAAACCACAGAAACCCUUUGGUCAUUUCUUUUUUUUUUUCUGUUACAAGACAGAAGAUCAGUGGAGACAAAAGAACAUGCGUUGAGAUGUAAAGAGAGAAAUCCUCAUGUAGUGAACUGGGGCAAAGCAGAUGUCUGUUCAAACGAGUUCUUUGAUUCAAGACUACAUACUAUUUCUCAGAGAUAUCCAGGCUCAUCUGGAGUGUUUAUUUUUUUGUUUGUUUGUUUGUUUGUUUGUUUUUUUGUCUCUCAGUACCAUAUGGAUCCACAGCAGACAGCAUAUCUAAAAGGAUCACUUUUAAAAAUGUGCAUACACUCACAGGAAAUAAAGAUGGGGGGGGGGGGACAUUAUGGAAAUAAGUUAAAGCAAAUGUGAGAUGUCUGAAAUGGAAUAUAUUAAACAUGCAAUUUAAAUUUAAAUGGCAAUAUUUCCAAAGGCUUGCCAUCU
ensembl:lncRNA